UGUUCUGUGGCUUAGUUGAUUAAAUCGCCGGUCUAACAAAUGCGGAGUCGUGGGUUCGAAUUCCACCAGAACGC
rnacentral:tRNA from 1 species